GAUGAACGCUAGCGGCGGGCUUAAUACAUGCAAGUCAAGGGGUAGCAAUACACCGGCGUACGGGUGCGUAACGCGUAUGGAACCUGCCCUUAUCUGGGGGAUAACUCGGGGAAACUCGAGCUAAUACCGCAUAAGAUAGUAGAAUGGCAUCAUUCAGCUAUUAAAGAUUUAUCGGAUAAGGAUGGCCAUGCGUAAGAUUAGAUAGUUGGUGGGGUAACGGCCCACCAAGUCUACGAUCUUUAGGGGCUCUGAGAGGAGAAUCCCCCCCACUGGCACUGAGAUACGGGCCAGACUCCUACGGGAGGCAGCAGUAGGGAAUAUUGGGCAAUGGGCGGAAGCCUGACCCAGCCACGCCGCGUGCAGGAAGAAGGCCCUCUGGGUUGUAAACUGCUUUUGAUUGGGAAGAAAGCAUCUCAUGCGUGGGAUUUUGACGGUACCAAUCGAAUAAGCCACGGCUAACUACGUGCCAGCAGCCGCAGUAACAC
rnacentral:rRNA from 1 species